UCAUUGUUAGUUCAGUUUGAUAAAACGGGUGUUCAAAACCCGAUGUCGUAGGUUCAAAUCUUACAGAGUGUG
rnacentral:tRNA from 1 species